GACGAACGCUGGCGGCGUGCCUAAUACAUGCAAGUAGAACGCACAGUUUAUACCGUAGCUUGCUACACCAUAAACUGUGAGUUGCGAACGGGUGAGUAACGCGUAGGUAACCUGCCUGGUAGCGGGGGAUAACUAUUGGAAACGAUAGCUAAUACCGCAUAAUAUUGAUUAUUGCAUGAUAAUUGAUUGAAAGAUGCUAUUGCAUCACUACCAGAUGGACCUGCGUUGUAUUAGCUAGUAGGUGAGGUAACGGCUCACCUAGGCGGCGAUACAUAGCCGACCUGAGAGGGUGAUCGGCCACACUGGGACUGGGACACGGCCCAGACUCCUACGGGAGGCAGCAGUAGGGAAUCUUCGGCAAUGGACGCAAGUCUGACCGGGCAACGCCGCGUGAGUGAAGAAGGUUUUCGGAUCGUAAAGCUCUGUUGUAAGAGAAGAACGGGUGUGAGAGUGGAAAGUUCACACUGUGACGGUAUCUUACCAGAAAGGGACGGCUAACUACGUG
rnacentral:rRNA from 1 species